AAUUUCGGCGAGACUUGUAUAUCUGUAUAUGCCAACUAUUCAAUGGACGAACAGAAUUGGCAACAAGUAUACUGAAUUCAAGUUUACGAGACGUUUGUUCAGUUUAUUCGUAAUUGAUCGUGAUUCGUUUUAUAUUACUGUCAAUUACUGCGACAUUUUCUUAAAUAAGACAACUAUAAAGCUACUUCAAAAUGGGGAAACGCCAACAUCAAAAGGAUAAAAUGUACUUAACGUACACGGAGUGGUCGACGUUGUACGGUGGAAGAAAAUCGGGAACGAAUCUGGAAACAAGCGAGGAGAAGACGUUCAGGCGGUUGCCAUACGAUCAUUGUUGCUUAUCUCUUCAGCCCUUUGAGCACCCUUAUUGCGAUCUGCAUGGCAAUGUGUUCGAGCUAGAGGCUAUUUUGCAAUACAUAAAACAGUACAAGCACAAUCCCAUAACAGGAAAACCACUAGAUGCCAAGAGCUUAGUCAAACUAAACUUUUAUAAGAAUUCCCAAAAUGAAUAUCAGUGCCCUGUUCUUUUCAAAUUGUUUACAAAACAUUCGCAUAUUGUUGCUAUUAAAACUACAGGAAAUGUAUUUUCUUAUGAGGCUGUUGAACAGUUGAAUAUAAAAACUGGAAAUUGGAAAGAUUUGAUGAACGAUCAGUCAUUCACUCGCAAGGAUAUUAUCACAAUUCAGGAUCCAAAUAAUGCGAUGAAAUUCAAUCUGUCGACUUUCCAUCAUAUUAAAAAUUACAUAAGAGUGGAAGACGAAGAGACAGUGAGAGAGAGAAAUAAUCCAAACGCAAAAUUAAAAACUGUAUCGGCAGAAACCAAGGAGAUCCUGAUUGAAUUGGAAAGAGACUACAAGCCGGUAAAGAGUAACGAGAAAGAUGAGCUCUCUACACAGAAGGCAGACAAAUUUAAUGCUGCGCAUUAUUCCACUGGUGCGGUUGCUGCGGGAUUUACUUCAACGAUAAUGCCGGCAGAGACUACCCAUCAAGCAGCUGUGAUUGCGGAAGAUUUAGUGCGAUACGAGAGAGUCAAAAAGAAAGGAUAUGUAAGAUUUCUCACGAACUUUGGGGCUUUGAAUCUAGAACUUUAUUGUGAUAUGAUUCCGAAAACCUGUGAAAACUUCAUGAAACACUGCCAUAAUGGUUAUUACGACGGCACAAAGUUUCAUAGAUCGAUACGAAAUUUUAUGAUUCAGGGCGGCGAUCCGACCAAUACAGGUAACGGUGGCAAAUCUAUUUGGGGCAAACCGUUCGAGGAUGAGUUCAAGUCUAAUCUGGUUCAUCAAGGUAGAGGUAUUCUGUCCAUGGCAAACUCAGGGCCAAACACCAACGGAUCCCAAUUUUUCAUCACAUUUCGAUCGUGCAGACACCUCGAUCGCAAACACACAGUCUUUGGGAAGAUCGUAGGAGGUCUGGACACGUUAAAUGCGAUGGAGAAGGUGGAGGUGGACAAUAAGGACCGACCGAUAGAGGAUAUAGUCAUACAGGGUGUCCAAGUUUUCGUGGAUCCUUUUCAGGAAGCGGAUGAUCAACUCACCGCGGAACGAGUUGCUGAGGCGGAACGAUUGGCUCAAGAAGCGAGUCAGAACAAAAAGGACGACAAAAAGGACAAGAAUGACACUCAGAAGGUCUAUCGAUCGGGUAUAGGAAAAUAUGUGAAAUUGGAGCAGGAGAAAUUGGACAAAUGGGACGGGAACGCAGAGCCUUUGACAAAGAAGAAGAAGGUCUCGUCGCAAUCAUAUGGAGAUUUCUCUUCUUUCAACUUUUAAUAAAUUCAUUGAAAUAAUUAGAAUAUCGAAUGUAUAUAGCACAUGUACAUAGUCUAGUUUAUUUUACGUAUAACUUUUCUGGCAAUUUGCCGUAAAGCCUCUGGCAUAUUCAAGUUGUUAUCUUUUGAAGAGCCAAAAUACGGAAAUCAAACAUAAUUGCUGAUGGAAAAUGGUAUGUUUAGGGGUUCCGUGAUACCUAGAGCGGCUACUGG